GGGUGUUUUUAUUGUGCAUGGCUCCACCAACCACAGGAGGUGAUGCGAGGAUGUGAACCCAUGAAGACCAAGGUCUCGUGAGAAGAGAGAGAGUCCGUGAUUGUGAGAGAAAAGGCUUCAAAGAGGUUUUUGGACAGCGGACAGCGAUUGCUUCAGGGGUUCAGGGGGUCUUCAAAGAGAGAAUUUUUGUGAGGAAAACUUCUAAUGAGAGAGAAAUUGGGUGUACGAGUGUUAAAGACG
rnacentral:lncRNA from 1 species